GAAAUGCGAUAAGUAAUGUGAAUUGCAGAAUUCAGUGAAUCAUCGAAUCUUUGAACGCACAUUGCGCCCAUUAGUAUUCUAAUGAGCAUGCCUGUUCGAGCGUCAUUUCAACCCUCAAGCCUUAGUUGCUUGGUGUUGGGAGCUUAUCCUGCCGCAAGGCGGGACAACUCCUUAAAUUUAUUGGCGGAGUCGCGGUGACCCCAAGCGCAGUAAUUCCUUUUCUCGCUUUAGGUGUUAACGCUGGCUUCUAGCCAUUAAACCCCCUAAUUUUCUAAUGGUUGACCUCGGAUCAGGUAGGACUACCCGCUGAACUUAAGC
rnacentral:misc_RNA from 1 species